rnacentral:lncRNA from 1 species
AGUUAAUUCCUAACUAAAAGAAAUUAAAUGGCAAUAUGCCAAUUCCUUCAAACAACCGAAGUAAAUCCCUAACUUUCUCCCCUUCUAACCAUCGGUUCAUCUCCGCAUAAUGGUGCUCUCAAGCUUGGAGGAACCUUUCAGCCUUGGAAUCUCUUUUGAUUCGAUUUCAAUGAAGCAAAGAGAAGAAAUCCAUGGCAUAUUCGCACGGUAAGGUUUUUCUUUUAUUUUGUUUUCCUUUUUUUCUGUUUUAAAUGCGAAAAAAACCAAAAGACCAAAAGAAGAAAUCGAAAAGAAAAUUAAAAGCCUCAAGAAAUUUGAAUUAGAAAAUCACCUUUUAAUUUCGGUAACCUUUUUAUUUCAGUAUGCGUGUGUAUUUCUGGGAAAAAGAUCCCCUUUACAUUCAAUUUCAUUCGGUCUUUAUAGCCGAAAAAUAAAAAUAAAAUAAAUAAAAAAUAAAAAUUUCCUUGCUGUAAUUUGUUGUUUUCUCCUUUUGUUUGUUAGUUUGUUGCAGGUGUGCAUGGUGUGGAGUAACAGAGAUCGUGACGUGAAGAUUGGUUCCAUUGUGAAGUUGCAGCGCACAUGAGCUUGGUGGCUUAGGGUUUCCUGAGAGUAUUUUGUUUUGGGCUGGGAUUUGGGUUAGGAGUUUAUUUUACUUUGGGCUAAUAAUUUGCUUGUAAGUGGGCUAGAUAAUUGGACUUGUAACAGGGACAUUGGACUUGAUUAUUUUAGUUUUAUUAUUUUUGCUUUAUUUUUGGUUUUGGUUCUAGUGUAAGCCUGGGCAGAUUGGGCCUGUACACGAACUAUGACUACUUUUCCUUUUGUUUUACAUAAUUGUUUUAGAUUUUCUUGUCGGUAUGUUAAACCGUUAUUUUUGGGAUGUUAGUCGAUGGAUGUAGUGAGAAAUCGCCACUUUCUGAUGUACUGUUGAUAGGGAAAGGCUUAGGGAUUGUUUCGGUGGCUUAAGCGUUGAUUUUUGGGUUGUUUUGGGGUGGUUUCGUGACUGCCUCGACUGCCACACAGGCAUGUGCUGAGGCACACGGCCGUGUGGAUUUGGAUAUUAGGGUUUCAGGCUAGUUAUGGGUGUCACACGGUCGGGCCACACAGGCGUGUGAUCGAUUUGGGGAUUUUUGUCAGAAACCACACGGGCGUGUGAGUUUGGUAAUUAAGGAUUUGAAAUUUGGGGUCACACGGCCUGGCCACACGACCGUGUGACUGAUUUGGGAAUUUUAGGGUUCUUACACGGGCUUUUGUUUUGAAACACACGGCGUGUAGCCAAUUUGGGGCCUAAGGAUUCCACACGGGUUUGUGACACCUUCACACGGUCAUGUCUACUCUGCAGUUGAAUUUAGCGAAAUUGGACAGUGUCUUAUACGGCCUGAUCGCACGGUCGUGCCUCUGCACUACAUGGGCGUGUGCCUCUGCGACACGGCCAUGUGCUACCCCUCACACGGGCAUAUGGACCCCGAUACGGCUUGCCUAGCUCCACACGGCCGAAGUAGAGGUGUGCAUGGGACGGGCCGGGUCGAGUUCAGGCCGGGCCCACAAAAAAAUUUAGGCCUGACCCGACUCGAAAUAUGGGCCUGGAUAUUUGCCCAAGACCGA